rnacentral:rRNA from 1 species
GAUGAACGCUGGCGGCGUGCCUAAUACAUGCAAGUCGAACGCAGUUGCGAACGGGUGAGUAACGCGUAGGUAACUGCCUCAUAGCGGGGGAUACCUAUUGGGACCGAUAUCUCAUACCGCAUACUUUGAGAUGGACCUGCGUUGUAUUAGCUAGUUGGUGAGGUAAAGGCCCAACAAGGCGACGAUACAUAGCCGACCUGAGAGGGAGGUAGGCCACAAGGGGACUGGGACAACGCUCAAGAUCCUAAGGGAGGAAGCAGGAGGGAAACAUCGGCAAUGGACGGAAGGCUGACCGAGCAAAGCCGGGGGAGGGAAGAAGGUUUUUGGAUCGUAAAGCUAUGUUGUUAGAGAAGCGGUAACUAAACAGAAAGGGACGGCUAACUACGUGCCAGCAGCCGCGGUAAUAC